UUCUAUGUUGCCAGCACGUGAUGGUGGGGACUCAUAGGAGACUGCCGGGGUCAACUCGGAGGAAGGUGGGGACGACGUCAAAUCAUCAUGCCCCUUAUGUCUUGGGCUUCACGCAUGCUACAAUGGCCGGUACAAAGGGUUGCGAUACUGUGAGGUGGAGCUAAUCCCAAAAAGCCGGUCUCAGUUCGGAUUGGGGUCUGCAACUCGACCCCAUGAAGUC
rnacentral:rRNA from 1 species